rnacentral:rRNA from 1 species
UACGUAGGGUGCGAGCGUUGUCCGGAAUUAUUGGGCGUAAAGAGCUCGUAGGCGGUCUGUCGCGUCGGUCGUGAAAACUUGGGGCUUAACCCUGAGCUUGCGGUCGAUACGGGCAUGACUGGAGUUCGGCAGGGGAGACUGGAAUUCCUGGUGUAGCGGUGAAAUGCGCAGAUAUCAGGAGGAACACCGGUGGCGAAGGCGGAUCUCUGGGCCGUAACUGACGCUGAGGAGCGAAAGCAUGGGGAGCGAACAGG